AAAUUGAAGAGUUUGAUCAUGGCUCAGAUUGAACGCUGGCGGCAGGCCUAACACAUGCAAGUCGAGCGGUAGCACAGAAGAGCUUGCUCUUUGGGUGACGAGCGGCGGACGGGUGAGUAAUGUCUGGGAAACUGCCUGAUGGAGGGGGAUAACUACUGGAAACGGUAGCUAAUACCGCAUAACCUCGCAAGAGCAAAGAGGGGGACCUUCGGGCCUCUCGCCAUCAGAUGUGCCCAGAUGGGAUUAGCUAGUAGGUGAGGUAAUGGCUCACCUAGGCGACGAUCCCUAGCUGGUCUGAGAGGAUGACCAGCCACACUGGAACUGAGACACGGUCCAGACUCCUACGGGAGGCAGCAGUGGGGAAUAUUGCACAAUGGGCGCAAGCCUGAUGCAGCCAUGCCGCGUGUGUGAAGAAGGCCUUCGGGUUGUAAAGCACUUUCAGCGGGGAGGAAGGCGGUGAGGUUAAUAACCUCAUCGAUUGACGUUACCCGCAGAAGAAGCACCGGCUAACUCCGUGCCAGCAGCCGCGGUAAUACGGAGGGUGCAAGCGUUAAUCGGAAUGACUGGGCGUAAAGCGCACGCAGGCGGUCUGUUAAGUUGGAUGUGAAAUCCCCGGGCUUAACCUGGGAACUGCAUUCAAAACUGACAGGCUAGAGUCUUGUAGAGGGGGGUAGAAUUCCAGGUGUAGCGGUGAAAUGCGUAGAGAUCUGGAGGAAUACCGGUGGCGAAGGCGGCCCCCUGGACAAAGACUGACGCUCAGGUGCGAAAGCGUGGGGAGCAAACAGGAUUAGAUACCCUGGUAGUCCACGCUGUAAACGAUGUCGAUUUGGAGGUUGUGCCCUUGAGGCGUGGCUUCCGGAGCUAACGCGUUAAAUCGACCGCCUGGGGAGUACGGCCGCAAGGUUAAAACUCAAAUGAAUUGACGGGGGCCCGCACAAGCGGUGGAGCAUGUGGUUUAAUUCGAUGCAACGCGAAGAACCUUACCUACUCUUGACAUCCAGAGAACUUAGCAGAGAUGCUUUGGUGCCUUCGGGAACUCUGAGACAGGUGCUGCAUGGCUGUCGUCAGCUCGUGUUGUGAAAUGUUGGGUUAAGUCCCGCAACGAGCGCAACCCUUAUCCUUUGUUGCCAGCGAUUCGGUCGGGAACUCAAAGGAGACUGCCGGUGAUAAACCGGAGGAAGGUGGGGAUGACGUCAAGUCAUCAUGGCCCUUACGAGUAGGGCUACACACGUGCUACAAUGGCGUAUACAAAGAGAAGCGACCUCGCGAGAGCAAGCGGACCUCAUAAAGUACGUCGUAGUCCGGAUUGGAGUCUGCAACUCGACUCCAUGAAGUCGGAAUCGCUAGUAAUCGUAGAUCAGAAUGCUACGGUGAAUACGUUCCCGGGCCUUGUACACACCGCCCGUCACACCAUGGGAGUGGGUUGCAAAAGAAGUAGGUAGCUUAACCUUCGGGAGGGCGCUUACCACUUUGUGAUUCAUGACUGGGGUGAAGUCGUAACAAGGUAACCGUAGGGGAACCUGCGGUUGGAUCACCUCCUUACCAAGAAG
rnacentral:rRNA from 1 species